rnacentral:lncRNA from 1 species
CAGUCCACGGAAACCCCCACCACUACAGUGACCGUUUAAUAUACCACCAGACUCAUAAAAAUUUCAGUAGCAUAAUAUGGCGAAUAAAAUGUAAUCCAGUCUACCGAGACCAAUCCCAAAAAUUUAGCCAUCAUGCUACCAUAGUGUCAUAAGCCCCAAUUUCAAUAACAUAUAAAAUCAUAAAUUUCAACACAGUCUCCAUAUACUCAAUUUUUCCAAAACAAUAUUUGAUUUCAAAACCAGUAUAAAUCUCAUUUUUAUUAAAAAAUAUUUUAAUUAGAAAACAUAAUAUUUUAUAAUUUAAACUCACCAUUCAAUAAA